UACGAAGGGUGCAAACGUUGCUCGGAAUUAUUGGGCGUAAAGCGCACGUAGGCGGCUUGCCAAGUCGGACGUGAAAUCCCUCAGCUCAACUGAGGACGUGCAUCCGAAACUGGCGAGCUUGAGUACUGAAGAGGAUCGCGGAAUUCCCGGUGUAGAGGUGAAAUUCGUAGAUAUCGGGAGGAACACCAGUGGCGAAGGCGGCGAUCUGGGCAGAUACUGACGCUGAGGUGCGAAAGCGUGGGGAGCAAACAGG
rnacentral:rRNA from 1 species